GACGAAAAAUAACGAGACCGUACUCUUUGAGGCCGGUUAUCGGAAUGGGUACAAUUUAAACCCGUUAACGAGGAUCUAUGAGAGGGCAAGUCUGGUGCCAGCAGCCGCGGUAAUUCCAGCUCUCAAAGUGUAUAUCGUCAUUGCUGCGGUUAAAAAGCUCGUAGUUGGAUCUGCGCCUCAGGACUUGGUCCGCCCACUGGGCGAGAACUAGGCUCCUGGGCUAGUUCUGCUGGUUUUCUCUACGUUGCCUUCAUCGGUCGCGUAGGGUGGCUAGCGAGUUUACUUUGAAAAAAUUAGAGUGCUUCACGCGAGCUUAUGUCUGAAUACUCGUGCAUGGAAUAAUAGAAUAGGAUCUCGGUUCUAUUUUGUUGGUUUUCUGAUCUGAGAUAAUGGUUAAGAGGGACGGACGGGGGCAUUCGUAUCGCUGCGUGAGAGGUGAAAUUCUUGGACCGUAGCGAGACGCCCGACUGCGAAAGCAUUUGCCAAGAAUGUCUUCAUUAAUCAAGAACGAAAGUCAGAGGUUCGAAGGCGAUCAGAUACCGCCCUAGUUCUGACCGUAAACGAUACCAACUAGCGUUCCGUCGGCGGUAAAUACGCCUUGACGGGCAGCUUCCCGGAAACGAAAGUCUUUCGGUUCCGGGGGAAGUAUGGUUGCAAAGCUGAAACUUAAAGAAAUUGACGGAAGGGCACCACCAGGAGUGGAGCCUGCGGCUUAAUUUGACUCAACACGGGAAAACUCACCUGGCCCGGACACCGUGA
rnacentral:rRNA from 1 species